AUUGAACGCUGGCGGCAUGCCUUACACAUGCAAGUCGAACGGCAGCACGGGUGCUUGCACCUGGUGGCGAGUGGCGAACGGGUGAGUAAUACAUCGGAACAUGUCCUGUAGUGGGGGAUAGCCCGGCGAAAGCCGGAUUAAUACCGCAUACGAUCCACGGAUGAAAGCGGGGGACCUUCGGGCCUCGCGCUAUAGGGUUGGCCGAUGGCUGAUUAGCUAGUUGGUGGGGUAAAGGCCUACCAAGGCGACGAUCAGUAGCUGGUCUGAGAGGACGACCAGCCACACUGGGACUGGAACCCGGCCCAGACUCCUACGGGAGGCAGCAGUGGGGAAUUUUGGACAAUGGGCGAAAGCCUGAUCCAGCAAUGCCGCGUGUGAGAAGAAGGCCUUCGGGUUGUAAAGAACUUUUGUCCGGAAAGAAAUCCUUGGCUCUAAUACAGUCGGGGGAUGACGGUACCGGAAGAAUAAGCACCGGCUAACUACGUG
rnacentral:rRNA from 1 species